AUAGAGGAUGCUAAGGAUUUUACUGCUGUUUUUCAUAUGCAUUGUGAGCAGAAGAGUUUGUAUAGCAGUUUGUGCAGCCAUAACCAGAAUGCAGUAUUUUCUCAUUUCCUUUUCUGUGCACUGUGCAGAUGCAGCUGCUGCUAUUUACCAAACAUGAAGAUGUUUUUCACAGCUCUGGGAAUACUGACUUGUAAAGAAGCCUCUCUGGAGAGCCAAACCACAAAACUACGGAACAAAACAUCUAUGCUUUGGUUUAAUUCUGAACAAAAUCUUAGUCUUUGUUUUGUAAGUUUUAUUAAAAGAGACGAAUUACUAUACUUAAAUUAAUGGUUCAAUGGAUAUCUCAUCUCUUGAUGACAAUUAUGCUUAUGGCAAGAACUUUAUCAUCACUUGUAAUGCCUGAAAAUGUUGUGGGAAGUUCAGGAAACCAAGAUCUGACUACACAUCAUCAGGUAAUGCCUCUAGGGUAACAUGCAGAAGAAAAAAAAAGGCCUGCUCUUUCAAAAUUAAAAAAGAUUGUGUUCAUAUUAAGGUUUAUGUUAGCUUCAUCUUAGCUGAUACUGAGGACCAUAAUUAUUUGUAAGAGAAAUCUGAAUGUAAAUAUUGUCAGCAUUUUUUCAGACUUUUUCAUUGUGAAACAGAAACCAUUGAAUGUAAUGAAAAGGAAGUUAAGAAACUCCCUCUCAGGAUACCAUGAGUUUCUUACAUGUUGCCACACCCUGUCAGUAAUAAACAGAUCUCUUAACUGCAGCUAAUCUGGAUUGCUUGAAAUACUGUACUGCAAGCACAUGGCCAGAUUCUGUUUAGCAGCAAUGUUCACAGUUGCUGCUUCAAUCAAAAACUCCUGAGGUCAGAAUUUUAUCACCACUUCUUUACCUUACUAACAGAUUCUUCCUUUCAGUUUCGAGGGCUUUUAUAUUUAUUUAAUUUUUUAAUUAUUAUUGCUGUAAGAAAAAGAGAGAGAAAAGAGAAAUAAAUGACAGCUCUAAACACUGAGGUAUUAUCUAUAAAACUGAUUUAUGAUGGCUUAUGAAAUUUCCCAGUCCUUGGGGGGAGCAGCAUACAGGGGGGGUAAGGAUACUUCCAUAAUUAUGCUCAUCACUUUUUGGUUUCUUUUUUGAGCCAUGAGCAAAAGCCCAAAUGUUCUUUUCAAGUAAGAGGGAUCUUAAGACUAAUAUCUCAUUGUCUUAUAAAUAACUUGUCUGAAGUAACUUGCUUCUGGUUUACUUGAAAUGGAUUAGGUCUGGCAAGGUGGAGAUAGGAUGCUUUGAUGGAAAUCUGGCUCCCAUGAAGUCAGUUUGAAGUCACACUGUCAAAGAGUUUUAUCAAGUUGGUUUUUUAUCUUAAUCUCUGUGCAGCAUUUAUUUGCAUACUUCAUUCCUUACUGUAAAUUUUAUUCCAUGGAAAGUUCAUUGCUUUUUGUAACUGUGCUGUGAAUGAAGUGAGCCAUAGAAUUAUUCUUUUCUAUUUUGAUUUUUUUUGGGGGUGCAUAUUCUUAUUUAUAGAUAGGGAGGGGCCCAACUGCCCACCUUUUGAUAAGUAAAGAAUAAAACAGUUAAAUUCUAUGGUCAAACCUGUCAGAAUCAAUUCAAGAGAACAUGUUAUUUUUAGUCCUACUUAGUUUUUGGAUAAAAGCUGCUUCAAGGGAAAAAGAUCAACAUAUAACUAAAAUUAAGCCCUUUGCAAUGCCUACUCUGGUGUGUAAUUCAUAAAUUAAUGGAUCAUGAAAAGACCUUAAAAGAAUGUUAUCCAUCAGAAAUAAUACCUCUGUGUAUUUAUCACUGCAUGCAGUGCUAUAUCCCAGAAACCCUUGUGUUGAAUUUGCCUAUCUAGGAGCCUGCAAUGCUUUUGAAAGGAUGAAAGAACCAUAAAAUAAGUUUAUGUUGCUCAGUGCCCAAAUGUUAUAAAUGACUAACACAAUAUGAGCAAACCAGUAAAUCUAAUCUUUUGCAACAGGUAUAUUUAACAGUCAUAAAGUCUACUUUUGGGUACGUUGAUAUUAGACUUUGGUUUUACAUGCUGCAUGCCAUAUAUCUGAAUUACUUAGACCUCUGAGUAAAGCUAAUUUUUCUUCCUAGUACCAAACAUAUAAUUUCCAAGGUGACAAGAAAUCUCCCACAGAAAUUGUAGAAUAAUAGGAUCUGGUAAAUGCUUGCUAUUCAAAAUAGGUUUGCUACCACAGUAUCUGAAAACCUUAUCUUGAAGGUAAUAAGCAAAGCAUGACUUCUCAUCUGUCUUUUAUUUGUUAAUUAUCCACUCAACAGCGAAAGAAAUGUACAUAUUAGAAUAAUGUGGGAUUGUUUUGCUGAUUUGUUUCCAAUGAUGACAUAUAGUGUGAUAUGCAAAUGUGUAUGUAAAUGAAGAAAUAUGCUUUGCAUUGGAGAUAAAAGGUGGUCAAGCACUUUCCUAGUUUUUAUUAGAUCACCAGGACUAGUCCUCAGGAAAGCCCCAAAACUCUUCUCCCCUCAGUGAGUUUUAGUUCUACUGCAUAGCCUUCAUUGUGUGACUGUUGACCAUGGUGCUUUCUCUGGAAAUUUAUCAGCCUUGGUCCCUGGCCACGAAAUGUCUUACAGAGUUAGAUCUGAAGCAUUCAUCAUUCUGUAGGGAGCUGGGCUAGAAAUCCAGAAACCAGAGGGUUUACUUAUGACAGCUGCUCAUGCAGAGGAAGUGCUCUGCUGUGCCCCUGUUGCACUGGACCUGCCAAGGGAAGCAAGGUCUCUCGCUCAGGGUAUGUCCUGUAGCUGGGCUCAAGGAUAGUGCUGACAUGAAAAACCACAGUCAGUCAUUGAUUUUUGGCCUGGCAGGGAGUCUUGUGUGCCACUGGAGUCAGGAGAGAGCCUUGCCCAUGGAUAUUGCUGUGCAAUGCCUCCUACCUCUGAGGAAUGCAGGAGUGCUCCUGGAGCACAGACUGAGCUGACAAAUCGCUCCACUGUAGACUUUUUGUUUGCUUAUGCUCCAUCCCAUCUAGAAAUGGCAAUGACUGGAAAAAAAAAGGAGAGCGUAUUUUGUUUCAAUAAGACCAAAGUCGCAAACUCUAAACAAAGACUUUAAAAAACACACUUGUGACAUUAGGUGCUGCUUCUAAGUCGCCUUUAUUUUCUUGCUGAAUUAUUUUAGGAAUUAGUUUUGGGCAAUUUUUUUUCUUCUUGAUUGAUACAUAUAGAGUGCUAUGAGAUUUCAACUUGGCUGUUCUCUAACCAAACUGCAAAUGGGGUCAAAAUCAGGGAAGGAAACAGACACCACAGUGAUUUCAUAGCACAGAUGCAGCCCUCCUUCCCUCGGCACCCUGGUUACAACCGAUGUGGUUGAACAACGAGGCCAAGCCCAGGGAAUCAUGGUGCAUGGGGCAGGAUUGCUUUUGACCUCUCUACUCCUCAAGGUGCUACCUCCUACCCCACUGCUGUUUGGUAGAAACUGGUGUUAUGUUUUGGCAUUGACUGUCACCUGGUUUGACCCCUGUUGCUCUAGCUUGCUAGCAGCUGGCUGCAGAAGCUGUUUUUCCCUCUCUCUGUGAAGCAUGUUCAAGGACAGGUCUUUGAUAUGUAGAGGCACCACAGUUUUGAAGCUUUAAUUUCCUUCACCAAGCCUGAAAUAAUUUCAGUUAGUUGAUUGCCAGGACAAAGUUAGAUCAUUGUCUGUUAUCCUGCAUCCUAGGAGAUAAGCCAUGAUAUGCACCCCAUUUGAAAACAGGGCAGGCUUGUUUCAUUAGUUUAAAGUUUGCCAUGUAAUAUGGAAACAAUGAAUUGUGGGCAACUUGUUCUAAGAAUCUGUAUUUUUAUGGCACAGGUGCCGAGAGUACCAAAUUGUUGCACUUGAGUUGUGUAUAAAUCCAAAUAGGUAAAACCUAAGUGCUCCAUUUAUUAAGUGUAGAUGAAGAUCUUAUGCAUUUGUAUUAGUUAGGUGUAGCUUGCACCAAGGUAAGUUUUAAAACAGAAAAUCAUGUCUGGAUGCAUAUUCUACACUAGCAAUUUCUAGCUUGCAAUCAUUGCCUAACACAUGUAAUACUUUUGUGCCCUUCAGCUCUGUAACCCUGUCUCAUGGUAAGUAAAAGAUUAAUUCUCUUCAUCCCAUAAGGCAAAGGUAGUUUUUGCCAUUCCUUAAUUGUACACUUGAAUAUAUAAUAGAAAAAAGUACUUUACUUUUCUGCCUAUUCUAUCUAGUGUCAUGCAGAACUUAAGAAAUGUUCCCAAAUCUGGAAUCUCUACAAGUUUAAUCUAAUCUGUGGAAAACCUUCCCACAGCCACAUGAGGAAUUCACUUGUGAAAAACUCCAACAGCUGUAUGGCAGGUAAUUUCAAGCUGACAAUACAGUAAACUUUCACUUCACAGAAACACAAGGUUUACCUCCAUAGGUAAGGUCGGGAUCUUCUGAAAGAAGGGAAGAGUGUUCUAGCUUGCUUCUUGAACACCAUAGCAUUGGUAUCACUUAGAUCUCGGAGCUGUGUGACUCUGUGAAAAUUCUGUCUAAAAUCUGAAGAUAAAUAUAUCUUUAUUUUGUAGGAGCUGAUUAUUCACUUUCAAUGGAGCCUUUUCUUUCUGCCACUUGGCACGUGCCACUGUGAAAAUUCUUAGGAUUCUUGAAAUGGGAGGGAUAGGCAAUGCUGGUGACCCUUCCCAUCCAUCUCAGCAGCUAGCAGUGCUGGUGUUUUAUAUUUACUGCCACAUAUUGAUGAUGUUAUAGCAGAAUCCUUUUUACAUCUACAGAACUGCAGGGUGUUAUCUCUCUAUCUGAGGUAUUAUCAUCUCAGCUUUCUUGCUAGUGAUGCUUUUGCACCUUCAGUAUAAGGCUGGGACUUUAAAUAAAAGUUAGAACUUUAUUUUACCUGUUGACCAUCUGUACUGUAUACUCAGUGAUUCAGGCAAAAUACAAAAUGACUGAAGUUCCUGUCAAAGUACAAAGUGGAAAUGAAUAUUUGAGGUUUUACACUUCCAAGGUUCCUCUGUUUCUCAGUUUUGGGUAGUUAGUGUAAUUGGAAGGGUCAGAAAGUCCAAAAGCUAAAAUCCAUGGGGCCAUUUCAGUGUCAAUAAUAAUUCGCCCAACACUGGAAAUCUCAAAAUAACCUAAACGAUCUCAAAACAUCCUCUCAUCCUGCGAGAAAAUAGCUGAGAAUGUGUUAUAAGUUUGAAUAUACUCUAGUGAUGGCAUUGUAAUUUGGAGGAUAGCUGAAGUGACACAGAAGAGCAGGAGGCACCGACUGAUCAGAGAAGACUUGUAUAAAUAAUGUACAUCAUAUGUGCCUGACUGGUGACUGAGCUUUGUGAGCCCACCACAGAAGCAGUUGUCAGCUGGGUGAACCAGGAGCCACCUAAGAACAAAUAAGGUAUCUGUGGCAAAUCAGAGUCAAGAAGUUUCUCACGUUUAACCACUUAACCAAUCUAAGUAAACUCCUAGCAACAAAACAGUUAAUGAAAAUAUUACAACAACAAGUUUCAGGUUGACUUGCUAAAGAGAUUUCUGGCAAACAAGGUAUUUGCAGAAGUCAUUUAAUAUAUCUCCACACUUUGUUUUUCGAAUAGAAGAGUACAGGACUUGUGGGGUGGGGAAGUUAUUAGAGAUAAUUGCAAAGAGUUUCACCAAAAUAAGAUUUUAGCCUGACAGUAUGGACAGGAUUGUUGUCCUUAUUCAUUACCCCUAUGCAGCAAGCCAUGUGUCUCUGCUUUCAGGUGACAGACAGGUGUCCAGCAGGCAGAUCUCACUGUGUGAAAGGGAUGGGAAGUGUUUGCCUUCACUAAUUUGUCUGGUUAUCCAGCUAUUACCCACCACUUGGUCCCGAAGUAAGGAGUGAAUGCAUGCUUUGCCAGGGUUUACUGGUCUUCAUGCCAACCUCUCUCCAGUGAUGCACGAUUAAAAGUGCAAAUCACGAAGCUAUCAGAGCAGGGACCAUGACAUGUACUAGAAAUGUGACAAUUCACACUUCAUCAUUAAAUUGACAGCGAGAUUAAGGAAGGGUUGCUUUUACAAAAUGAAAAUGAAGAGUACAGCAUGGUAAGAGGUAAUCUGCCUUUUACUAGAAAUAAAAGACCUGAAACAUGAAUUCUUGUGUUUGUAGUGAAUAAGUUCCUAUCCAAUGCUGAUGAUGUCUUAUGUAAAUGUUGGAGGCAAAUAAGAUGAUUUACAUUUAUUGUAUGCCACAUAAUGUAAUGACCAUCUUAAAAAUCUUUCCUUUGUCAUGAUUUAAAAACAGAUCUUAUUGUGUCAGGGAAAAUACAAAAAUAAAUUAUUUUGUGAA